rnacentral:rRNA from 1 species
GACGAACGCUGGCGGCGGGCUUAACACAUGCAAGUCGAACGGAAAGGCCCUGCUUUCUUGGGGUUCUCGAUUGGCGAACGGGUGAGUAACACGUGAGUAACCUGCCCUUGACUUUGGGAUAACUUCAGGAAACUGGUGCUAAUACCGGAUAGCAGCUGCUGCUGCAUGGUGGGCGUUGGAAAGUUUCGGCGGUUGGGGAUGGACGCGCGGCUUAUCAGCUUGUUGGUGGGGUAGUGGCUUACCAAGGCUUUGACGGGUAGGCGGCCUGAGAGCGUGACCGGGGACCUUGGGACUGAGGUAGGGAGCAGACUGCAACGGGAGACAGUAGUCGGGAAUAUUACACAAUGGGCGGAAGCCUGAUGCAGAAGCGCCGCGUGCGGAAAGACGGUCUUCGGGUUGUAAACCGCAUUAGGCUGUGACGAAGCGUGAGUGACGGUAAUGGGUAAAGAAGCACCGGCUAACUACGUG